GAUGAACGCUGGCGGCGUGCCUAAUACAUGCAAGUCGAGCGAACAGAUGAGGAGCUUGCUCCUCUGACGUUAGCGGCGGACGGGUGAGUAACACGUGGAUAACCUACCUAUAAGACUGGGAUAACUUCGGGAAACCGGAGCUAAUACCGGAUAAUAUAUUGAACCGCAUGGUUCAAUAGUGAAAGACGGUUUUGCUGUCACUUAUAGGUGGAUCCGCGCCGCAUUAGCUAGUUGGUAAGGUAACGGCUUACCAAGGCAACGAUGCGUAGCCGACCUGAGAGGGUGAUCGGCCACACUGGAACUGAGACACGGUCCAGACUCCUACGGGAGGCAGCAGUAGGGAAUCUGCCGCAAUGGGCGAAAGCCUGACGGAGCAACGCCGCGUGAGUGAUGAAGGUCUUCGGAUCGUAAAACUCUGUAUUAGGGAAGAACAAAUGUGUAAGUAACUAUGCACGUCUUGACGGUACCUAAUCAGAAAGCCACGGCUAACUACGUG
rnacentral:rRNA from 1 species